rnacentral:lncRNA from 1 species
UACACACUGGUUGUUGCUGUCUGCUAUUAAUAUUUUUCCAUUUGUAGAUGCAGCUACACCUUGAAGAUUUGUAAAUUCCCCUUUGUUUCUUCCUUUGGUGCCUACUCUGAAGAUCAAAUCAUCUUCAAUGGGAUUCUCUUUUCUUUUUCCAGUGCUGUACAUGCUCGCAGGUCUUUUCACAGCUUUCUGCUUUACAUGACCACUGCCAGGAGAUUUAACACGUCUCUUAAC